rnacentral:piRNA from 1 species
UCCCAAGAGUGCCUUGAUCUCAGCUUUGU